UGUAUAAUGGGUCAGCGACUUAUAUUCUGUAGCAAGGUUAACCGUAUAGGGGAGCCGUAGGGAAACCGAGUCUUAACUGGGCGAAUGAGUUGCAGGGUAUAGACCCGAAACCCGGUGAUCUAUCCAUGGGCAGGUUGAAGGUUGGGUAACACUAACUGGAGGACCGAACCGACUAAUGUUGAAAAAUUAGCGGAUGACUUGUGGAUGGGGGUGAAAGGCCAAUCAAACCGGGAGAUAGCUGGUUCUCCCCGAAAGCUAUUUAGGUAGCGCCUCGUGAACUCAUCUUCGGGGGUAGAGCACUGUUUCGACUAGGGGGUCAUCCCGACUUACCAACUCGAUGCAAACUGCGAAUACCGAAGAAUGUUAUCACGGGAGACACACGGCGGGUGCUAACGUCCGUCGUGAAGAGGGAAACAACCCAGACCGCCAGCUAAGGUCCCAAAGUCAUGGUUAAGUGGGAAACGAAGUGGGAAGGCUCAGACAGCCAGGAUGUUGGCUUAGAAGCAGCCAUCAUUUAAAGAAAGCGUAAUAGCUCACUGGUCGAGUCGGCCCGCGCGGAAGAUGUAACGGGGCUAAACCAU
rnacentral:rRNA from 1 species